CUCACCGUUUCAAUCACGAUACUUCUACAAAUCUCCACACUCAUCCCUUCCAAAUCCUCCAUCAGCGGAGAAUCUCAGCUUUGGUUCAGUUGCACAGAAGCUCCGUCACACCCCUUCCCGGAUCUUCUCAGUGUGUUGCUCGCGUCUCUCCUUUCAAAUCCAAUCCUGCAAUCCGCUAAUUUAGCCAAAGUUUGGAGUUUCUAUCACAUGCUGGUAUCUCGAAACAGAUGGUUAGUGCACUGA